rnacentral:sRNA from 1 species
ACUCUAACAAAGUAUAUAUAAAUACAUGUAUAAAUAAAUACAUUUCUGUCCCGUGUCCGAAGGAUACAUCCAUCCUCCAAGCGCGGCGCCAGCUUUUCUUUUUUCUGUGGCGGUCGCGUCGCGCUGAGAGUCGUGAUCAGGGCGUGGAUUUUGCUCGGGAGUUUUCCCUAAUUCAUGUGUUUCUUGACGGCUUGAAAGCUUGACCUCCGGGUGCUGCCUAGAGGAAAUAACGGGCUUAAGAAUAUAAUGAUCAAUGCGCCUGCGUUGGCGUUUGCGGAGAAGGGAGUUUCACCGCCUGUUCAACUGCAUAUCACAUGUGUUCAUCAUUGGCUGGGCGUAUCAGGUCACGCACCACGGAGAAAACUUUGGAAGAAAACACGGCCUCCGACCUGACUGGCAC